rnacentral:rRNA from 1 species
GAUYAGAUACCGUCGUAGUCUCAACCAUAAACUAUGCCGACCAGGGAUUCGGGGCAAGUUAAACUUCAUUGGACGACUCCCCGAGCACCUUGCGAGAAAUCAUUGAGUCUUUGGGUUCUGGGGGGAGUAUGGUCGCAAGGCUGAAACUUAAAGAAAUUGACGGAAGGGCACACCAAGAGUGGAGUCUGCGGCUUAAUUUGACUCAACGCGGGGAAUUUUACCAAGUCCGGACAAAAAAAGGAUUGACAGAUUAAAGCUCUUUCUUGAUUUUUUGGGUGGUGGUGCAUGGCCGUUUGUAGUUGGUGGAGUGAUUUGUCUGCUUAAUUGCGUUAACGAACGAGACCUCAGCCUGCUAAAUAGUUAUGCGAACCGUCUGCACGGGUGAAGGGUGCUGGCCAGUCUGGGCCUUCGGGCUUGGGCAGCUGGCGCAGGGAUCCUUGAUGAGUUCGUAGCAAUACUUCUUAGAGGGACAAUUGGUGUUAAGUCAAUGGAAGUUUGAGGCAACAACAGGUCUGUGAUGCCCUUAGAUGUCUUGGGCGGCACGCGCACUACAAUGAUCAGUUCAACGAGUAUGACUUCCUUGGGCGACAGCCCUGGGUAAUCUUUUGAAAGCUGAUCGUGUUGGGGAUCGAUCUUUGCAAUUUUGGAUCGUAAACGAGGAAUUCUUAGUAAGUCCAAUUCAUCAUAUUGGGUUGACUUCGUCCCUGCCCUUUGUACACACCGCCCGUCGCUCCAACCGAUGUAGGAUCCGGUGAGAUCUCGGGAUGGCGGCCAUUGUUCGCGGGCAACUGUGAACGGGAAGCCAGAACUUGCUCGAACCUUAUCUUGUAGAGGAUGGAGAAGUCGUAACAAGGUCUCCGUAGGUGAACCUGCAGAAGGAUCA